CACGUAGGGGCCAAGCGUUGUCCGGAUUUAUUGGGCGUAAAGAGCUCGUAGGCGGUUGGGUAAGUCGGGUGUGAAAACUCCAGGCUCAACUUGGAGACGCCACCCGAUACUGCUCUGACUUGAGUUCGGUAGGGGAGUGGGGAAUUCCUGGUGUAGCGGUGAAAUGCGUAGAUAUCGGGAGGAACACCAGUGGCGAAGGCGGCUUUCUGGUCUGCUCUUGACGCUGAGGCGCGAAAGCUAGGGUAGCAAACGGG
rnacentral:rRNA from 1 species